AUUGAACGCUGGCGGCAGGCCUAACACAUGCAAGUCGAGCGGAGCGGCGGACGGGUGAGUAAUGCCUAGGAAUCUGCCUGGUAGUGGGGGAUAACGUCCGGAAACGGGCGCUAAUACCGCAUACUAUCAGAUGAGCCUAGGUCGGAUUGGCUAGUUGGUGGGGUAAAGGCCUACCAAGGCGACGAUCCAUAACUGGUCUGAGAGGAUGAUCAGUCACACUGGAACUGAGAAACGGUCCAGACUCCUACGGGAGGCAGCAGUGGGGAAUAUUGGACAAUGGGCGAAAGCCUGAUCCAGCCAUGCCGCGUGAGUGAAGAAGGUCUUCGGAUUGUAAAACUCUGUUGGUUGGGAAGCGUUACCAACAGAAAAAGCACCGGCUAACUACGUGCCAGCAGCCGCGGUAAUUC
rnacentral:rRNA from 1 species